rnacentral:rRNA from 1 species
UACAGAGGUCUCAAGCGUUGUUCGGAUUCAUUGGGCGUAAAGGGUGCGUAGGCGGCGCGGUAAGUCGGGUGUGAAAUCUCGGGGCUUAACUCCGGAACUGCAUUCGAUACUGCCGUGCUUGAGGACUGGAGAGGAGACUGGAAUUUACGGUGUAGCGGUGAAAUGCGUAGAUAUCGUAAGGAAGACCAGUGGCGAAGGCGGGUCUCUGGACAGUUCCUGACGCUGAGGCACGAAGGCCGGGGGAGCAAACGGG